GACGAACGCUGGCGGCGUGCCUAAUACAUGCAAGUCGAACGCACAGUUUAUACCGUAGCUUGCUCCACCAUAGACUGUGAGUUGCGAACGGGUGAGUAACGCGUAGGUAACCUGCCUGGUAGCGGGGGAUAACUAUUGGAAACGAUAGCUAAUACCGCAUAAUAUUAAUUAUUGCAUGAUAAUUGAUUGAAAGAUGCAACUGCAUCACUACCAGAUGGACCUGCGUUGUAUUAGCUAGUAGGUGAGGUAACGGCUCACCUAGGCGACGAUACAUAGCCGACCUGAGAGGGUGAUCGGCCACACUGGGACUGAGACACGGCCCAGACUCCUACGGGAGGCAGCAGUAGGGAAUCUUCGGCAAUGGACGAAAGUCUGACCGAGCAACGCCGCGUGAGUGAAGAAGGUUUUCGGAUCGUAAAGCUCUGUUGUAAGAGAAGAACGGGUGUGAGAGUGGAAAGUUCACACUGUGACGGUAUCUUACCAGAAAGGGACGGCUAACUACGUG
rnacentral:rRNA from 1 species